GACGAACGCUGGCGGCGUGCUUAACACAUGCAAGUCGAACGAAGAGCGAUGGAAGCUUGCUUCUAUCAAUCUUAGUGGCGAACAGGUGAGUAACGCGUAAUCAACCUGCCCUUCAGAGGGGGACAACAGUUGGAAACGACUGCUAAUACCGCAUACGAUCUAAUCUCGGCAUCGAGGAUAGAUGAAAGGUGGCCUCUACAUGUAAGCUAUCACUGAAGGAGGGGAUUGCGUCUGAUUAGCUAGUUGGAGGGGUAACGGCCCACCAAGGCGAUGAUCGGUAGCCGGUCUGAGAGGAUGAACGGCCACAUUGGGACUGAGACACGGCCCAGACUCCUACGGGAGGCAGCAGUGGGGAAUCUUCCGCAAUGGACGAAAGUCUGACGGAGCAACGCCGCGUGAGUGACGACGGCCUUCGGGUUGUAAAGCUCUGUUAAUCGGGACGAAAGGCCUUCUUGCGAAUAGUGAGAAGGAUUGACGGUACCGGAAUAGAAAGCCACGGCUAACUACGUG
rnacentral:rRNA from 1 species